rnacentral:tmRNA from 1 species
GGGGAUGUAUUGGUUUUGACAGCAUCGUAAGCGGUAGUAAGCACGUCGAGAGUCGUAGGCCCUCUCGUUAAUCUCAGCUUUCAAAAAUUAGUAGGCAACUACAAUUAUUCAUACGCUUGCUAGUCUCCAAGAGACUGAGCAUUAAUCAGCUCCGCCAAGGCUGUGGAACUGACGUAUAUCUCGCCGGAGCCUGGCCGCUUCGUUUCGGUAUAUGAGGUAUCAUUUCAAGCGGAUGCUCGAGUCUAUGUCUUUACGGCUCGCUAAGAUUUAAAGACUAAGGUGAAACUUCGCCCGUCUUCCGGCAGGGUGAUCCCGAAAAUCAAAGGAAGAAUAAACGUGUAGAAAGCUAUUGACUAUAAUGUUUGGACGGCGGUUCGACCCCGCCCAUCUCCACA